AGGACGAACGCUGGCGGCGUGCUUAACACAUGCAAGUCGAGCGGAAAGGCCCUUCGGGGUACUCGAGCGGCGAACGGGUGAGUAACACGUGAGCAAUCUGCCCUUAGCUUCGGGAUAGCUCCGGGAAACCGGAAUUAAUACCGAAUAUGACUGUGGUCGACAUCUGCCACGGUGGAAAGUUUUUCGGCUAGGGAUGAGCUCGCGGCCUAUCAGCUUGUUGGUGGGGUAAUGGCCUACCAAGGCGACGACGGGUAGCCGGCCUGAGAGGGCGACCGGCCACACUGGGACUGAGACACGGCCCAGACUCCUACGGGAGGCAGCAGUGGGGAAUAUUGCGCAAUGGGCGAAAGCCUGACGCAGCGACGCCGCGUGGGGAUGAAGGCCUUCGGGUUGUAACCCCUUUCAGCAGGGACGAAGCGAAAGUGACGGUACCUGCAGAAGAAGCGCCGGCUAACUACGCGCCAGCAGCCGC
rnacentral:rRNA from 1 species